rnacentral:rRNA from 1 species
AUGGUCUCCGAGUCCGUGUUCAUCUCAAAAUUUGCCUACCAAGACAACGAACAAGAGUGGCGAAUCCCAACGUGGAUGUACUCAUCUACGACAAUUGGCAUGGUCCUGUCGCCCAGCUGUGGAAUCGCCGGUGCCACUACCAUCGCGAGGUCAUCGUCAGGCACCACCAUCACGAGGUCAGUGUCAGGCACCACAAUCGCGAGGUCGUCGUCAGCCACCACCAUAGCAGGGUCGUCGUCAGCCACCACCAUAGCAGGGUCGUCGUCAGCCACCACCAUAGCAAGGUCGUCGUCAGCCACCACCAUAGCAAGGUCGUCAUCCCCGCUCUGCUCCUCUUCUUGUCCACUCUGCUCCUCGUCAUCCACGCUCUGCUCCUCGUCAUCCCCGCUGCGGCUCCCACUGCCUGGCCGAAUGCAACAAAGUGUGAACAUGGUGUUGUCGUCGUGCUGGUAG